rnacentral:rRNA from 1 species
GAUCCUGGCUCAGGAUGAACGCUAGCUACAGGCUUAACACAUGCAAGUCGAGGGGCAGCAUUUCAGUUUGCUUGCAAACUGGAGAUGGCGACCGGCGCACGGGUGAGUAACACGUAUCCAACCUGCCGAUAACUCGGGGAUAGCCUUUCGAAAGAAAGAUUAAUACCCGAUAGUAUAAUGAAACCGCAUGGUCUUAUUAUUAAAGAAUUUCGGUUAUCGAUGGGGAGUGCGUUCCAUUAGGCAGUUGG